CGGGCUUGGCGGCUGUGGUGGGGUUGCAGGGCUUGGCGGCGACGGCAGCGAAGGUGACGGCUGUGGGCUGGGUGGCUGCAGCGGCAGUCCUGGGCUAGGUGGUGAAGGCUCUGGCGACGGUGGCUGCGGGCUCGGCGGCUGUGGUGGGGUUGCAGGGCUUGGCGGCGGCGGCAGCGCCGGUGUUGGCUGUGGUCUGGGUGGCUGCAGCGGCAGUCCUGGGCUAGGUGGUGAAGGCUCUGGCGACGGUGGCUGCGGGCUCGGCGGCUGUGGUGGGGUUGCAGGGCUUGGCGGCGACGGCAGCGACGGUGACGGCUGUGGGCUGGGUGGCUGCAGCGGCAGUCCUGAGCUAGGUGGUGAAGGCUCUGGCGACGGUGGCUGCGGGCUCGGCGGCUGUGGUGGGGUUGCAGGGCUUGGCGGCGACGGCAGCGCCGGUGUUGGCUGUGGGCUGGGUGGCUGCAGCGGCAGUCCUGGGCUAGGUGGUGAAGGCUCUGGCGACGGUGGCUGCGGGCUCGGCGGCUGUGGUGGGGUUGCAGGGCUUGGCGGCGACGGCAGCGACGGUGACGGCUGUGGGCUGGGUGGCUGCAGCGGCAGUCCUGGGCUAGGUGGUGAAGGCUCUGGCGACGGUGGCUGCGGGCUCGGCGGCUGUGGUGGGGUUGCAGGGCUUGGCGGCGACGGCAACGCCGGUGACGGCUGUGGGCUGGGUGGCUGCAGCGGCAGUCCUGGGCUAGGUGGUGAAGGCUCUGGCGACGGUGGCUGCGGGCUCGGCGGCUGUGGUGGGGUUGCAGGGCUUGGCGGCGACGGCAGCGACGGUGUUGGCUGUGGGCUGGGUGGCUGCAGCGGCUGUCCUGGGCUAGGUGGUGAAGGCUCUGGCGACGGUGGCUGCGGGCUCGGCGGCUGUGGUGGGGUUGCAGGGCUUGGCGGCGACGGCAGCGACGGUGACGGCUGUGGGCUGGGUGGCUGCAGCGGCUGUCCUGGGCUAGGUGGUGAAGGCUCUGGCGACGGUGGCUGCGGGCUCGGCGGCUGUGGUGGGGUUGCAGGGCUUGGCGGCGACGGCAGCGACGGUGACGGCUGUGGGCUGGGUGGCUGCAGCGGCUGUCCUGGGCUAGGUGGUGAAGGCUCUGGCGACGGUGGCUGCGGGCUCGGCGGCUGUGGUGGGGUUGCAGGGCUUGGCGGCGACGGCACCGACGGUGUUGGCUGUGGGCUGGGUGGCUGCAGCGGCAGUCCUGGGCUAGGUGGUGAAGGCUCUGGCGACGGUGGCUGCGGGCUCGGCGGCUGUGGUGGGGUUGCAGGGCUUGGCGGCGGCGGCAGCGACGGUGACGGCUGUGGGCUGGGUGGCUGCAGCGGCAGUCCUGGGCUAGGUGGUGAAGGCUCUGGCGACGGUGGCUGCGGCAGGGCUUGGCGGCGAUGGCAGGCGUUGACGGCUGUGGGCUGGGUGGCUGCAGCGGCAGUCCUGGGCUAGGUGGUGAAGGCUCUGGCGACGGUGGCUGCGGGCUCGGCGGCUGUGGUGGGGUUGCAGGGCUUGGCGGCGGCGGCAGCGACGGUGUUCGGCUGUGGGCUGGGUGGCUGCAGCGGCAGUCCUGGGCUAGGUGGUGAAGGCUCUGGCGACGGUGGCUGCGGGCUCGGCGGCUGUGGUGGGGUUGCAGGGCUUGGCGGCGGCGGCAGCGACGGUGUUGGCUGUGGGCUGGGUGGCUGCAGCGGCAGUCCUGGGCUAGGUGGUGAAGGCUCUGGCGACGGUGGCUGCGGGCUCGGCGGCUGUGGUGGGGUUGCAGGGCUUGGCGGCGACGGCAGCGCCGGUGUUGGCUGUGGGCUGGGUGGCUGCAGCGGCAGUCCUGGGCUAGGUGGUGAAGGCGCUGGCGACGGUGGCUGCGGGCUCGGCGGCUGUGGUGGGGUUGCAGGGCUUGGCGGCGACGGCAGCGCCGGUGUUGGCUGUGGGCUGGGUGGCUGCAGCGGCAGUCCUGGGCUAGGUGGUGAAGGCUCUGGCGACGGUGGCUGCGGGCUCGGCGGCUGUGGUGGGGUUGCAGGGCUUGGCGGCGACGGCAAGCGACGGUGACGGCUGUGGGCUGGGUGGCUGCAGCGGCAGUCCUGGGCUAGGUGGUGAAGGCUCUGGCGACGGUGGCUGCGGGCUCGGCGGCUGUGGUGGGGUUGCAGGGCUUGGCGGCGACGGCAGCGCCGGUGUUGGCUGUGGGCUGGGUGGCUGCAGCGGCAGUCCUGGGCUAGGUGGUGAAGGCUCUGGCGACGGUGGCUGCGGGCUCGGCGGCUGUGGUGGGGUUGCAGGGCUUGGCGGCGACGGCAACGCCGGUGUUGGCUGUGGACUGGGUGGCUGCAGCGGCAGUCCUGGGCUAGGUGGUGAAGGCGCUGGCGACGGUGGCUGCGGGCUCGGCGGCUGUGGUGGGGUUGCAGGGCUUGGCGGCGACGGCAGCGCCGGUGUUGGCUGUGGGCUGGGUGGCUGCAGCGGCAGUCCUGGGCUAGGUGGUGAAGGCGCUGGCGACGGUGGCUGCGGGCUCGGCGGCUGUGGUGGGGUUGCAGGGCUUGGCGGCGACGGCAGCGACGGUGACGGCUGUGGGCUGGGUGGCUGCAGCGGCAGUCCUGGGCUAGGUGGUGAAGGCUCUGGCGACGGUGGCUGCGGGCUCGGCGGCUGUGGUGGG
rnacentral:lncRNA from 1 species